CUGGCUCAGGACGAACGCUGGCGGCGUGCCUAAUACAUGCAAGUAGAACGCUGAAGAGAGGAGCUUGCUCUUCUUGGAUGAGUUGCGAACGGGUGAGUAACGCGUAGGUACCUGCCUUGUAGCGGGGGAUAACUAUUGGAAACGAUAGCUAAUACCGCAUAACAAUGGAUGACACAUGUCAUUUAUUUGAAAGGGGCAAUUGCUCCACUACAAGAUGGACCUGCGUUGUAUUAGCUAGUAGGUGAGGUAACGGCUCACCUAGGCGACGAUACAUAGCCGACCUGAGAGGGUGAUCGGCCACACUGGGACUGAGACACGGCCCAGACUCCUACGGGAGGCAGCAGUAGGGAAUCUUCGGCAAUGGGGGCAACCCUGACCGAGCAACGCCGCGUGAGUGAAGAAGGUUUUCGGAUCGUAAAGCUCUGUUGUAAGUCAAGAACGAGUGUGAGAGUGGAAAGUUCACACUGUGACGGUAGCUUACCAGAAAGGGACGGCUAACUACGUGCCAGCAGCCGCGGUAAUACGUAGGUCCCGAGCGUUGUCCGGAUUUAUUGGGCGUAAAGCGAGCGCAGGCGGUUUGAUAAAUCUGAAGUUAAAGGCUGUGGCUUCACCAUAGUUCCUUUGGCAACUGUCAAACUUGAGUGCAGAAGGGGAGAGUGGAUUCCAUGUGUAGCGGUGAAUGCGUAGAUAUAUGGAGGAACACCGGUGGCGAAGCGGCUCUCUGGUCUGUAACUGACGCUGAGGCUCGAAAGCGUGGGGAGCGAACAGGAUUAGAUACCCUGGUAGUCCACGCCGUAAACGAUGAGUGCUAGGUGUUGGAUCCUUCCGGGAUUCAGUGCCGCAGCUAACGCAUUAAGCACUCCGCCUGGGGAGUACGACCGCAAGGUUGAAACUCAAAGGAAUUGACGGGGGCCCGCACAAGCGGUGGAGCAUGUGGUUUAAUUCGAAGCAACGCGAAGAACCUUACCAGGUCUUGACAUCCCGAUGCUAUUUCUAGAGAUAGAAAGUUACUUCGGUACAUCGGUGACAGGUGGUGCAUGGUUGUCGUCAGCUCGUGUCGUGAGAUGUUGGGUUAAGUCCCGCAACGAGCGCAACCCCUAUUGUUAGUUGCCAUCAUUCAGUUGGGCACUCUAGCGAGACUGCCGGUAAUAAACCGGAGGAAGGUGGGGAUGACGUCAAAUCAUCAUGCCCCUUAUGACCUGGGCUACACACGUGCUACAAUGGUUGGUACAACGAGUUGCGAGUCGGUGACGGCAAGCUAAUCUCUUAAAGCCAAUCUCAGUUCGGAUUGUAGGCUGCAACUCGCCUACAUGAAGUCGGAAUCGCUAGUAAUCGCGGAUCAGCACGCCGCGGUGAAUACGUUCCCGGGCCUUGUACACACCUCCCGUCACACCACGAGAGUUUGUAACACCCGAAGUCGGUGAGGUAACCUUUUGGAGCCAGCCGCCUAAGGUGGGAUAGAUGAUUGGGGUGAAGUCGUAACAAGGUAACCGU
rnacentral:rRNA from 1 species